CAUGCAUGUCUAAGUAUAAAUUCUUGUACGAUGAAACUGCAGACGGCUCAUUACAACAGUGAUAAACUGCUAGACUUUCGGGUUUUUAACCUUUUGGAUAACCGCAGUAAAUCGGGGCUAAUACAUAGAAGCGAUGGGUGACUGGCAACGGAAGCUCAGCGAUUAUUAGCAUUACUACCAAUACCUUCGGGUCUUGUGGUGAAACCGAAUAAUAUUGCAGAUCGGGGAUUUAUCUUCGACAAGUCUACUGUGUCACUGCCCUAUCAACUUUCGAUGGUACGGUAUUGGCCUACCAUGGUUGUAACGGGUAACGGGGAAUUAGGGUUCGAUUCCGGAGAGGGAGCCUGAGAAAUGGCUACCACUUCUACGGAAGGCAGCAGGCGCGCAAAUUACUCAAUCCCAAUACGGGGAAGUAGUGACAAUAAAUAUCAAUACCUAUCCUUAAUUGGAGGGCAAUUGAAAUGAACACAAAUUAAAACUCUUAAUUAACACAAUUGGAGGGCAAGUCUGGUGCCAGCAGCCGCGGUAAUUCCAGCUCCAAUAGCAUAUACUAAAGUUGUUGCAGUUAAAAAGCUCGUAGUUGAAGUUAAAGUUUUAUUGGACUCAAGUUUUUUACCACUCUGGUGGCUAAAAUAACUCCAAUAAUUCUUUUUUUAAUAGCUCAGUUUCUAGGUCUUUGACUCUAGUUAUUUGGGCAUUUCACUGUGAGAAAAUUGUGGUGUUUAAAGCAGGCGUCUCGUCUGAUCUUUUGCAGCAUGGUAUGAUGGAACAUGACAUUUUACG
rnacentral:rRNA from 1 species